CGCGAAGAACCUUACCAAGACUUGACUUGCCCUCUAUGAGCCCCCGAAAAGGGGCUCUUCACUUCGGGUGGGAGGAGCACAGGUGCUGCAUGGCUGUCGUCAGCUCGUGUCGUGAGAUGUUGGGUUAAGUCCCGCAACGAGCGCAACCCUCAUCCUCUGUUGCUAACAGGUUAAGCUGAGCACUCUGAGGAAACUGCCGGUGAUAAGCCGGAGGAAGGUGGGGAUGACGUCAAGUCCUCAUGGCCCUUACGUCUUGGGCUACACACGUGUUACAAUGGCGAUGACAAUGGGCUGCUAACCCGCGAGGGCAUGCUAAUCCCCAAAAGUCGCCUCAGUUCGGAUCGUACUCUGCAACUCGAGUACGUGAAGUUGGAAUCGCUAGUAAUCGUAGAUCAGAACGCUACGGUGAAUACGUUCCCGGGCCUUGUACACACCG
rnacentral:rRNA from 1 species